rnacentral:rRNA from 1 species
UACAGAGGUCCCAAGCGUUGUUCGGAUUCAUUGGGCGUAAAGGGUGCGUAGGUGGCGCCGUAAGUCAGGUGUGAAAUUUCGGAGCUUAACUCCGAAACUUCAUUUGAUACUGCGGUGCUUGAGGACUGGAGAGGAGACUGGAAUUUACGGUGUAGCAGUGAAAUGCGUAGAGAUCGUAAGGAAGACCAGUGGCGAAGGCGGGUCUCUGGGCAGUAACUGACGCUGAGGAGCGAAAGCGUGGGGAGCGAACAGG